rnacentral:lncRNA from 1 species
UCUGUGCAGUGGGUGUGUGUUUUUUUAACUGCAAAGGUAUGUAUUACAUGCUUCUUCACAAGUGAUAUGGUUUAUUUACAGGAAAAGUUACGGUUUAAUCCUUAAAAAAUAUAUUAAUCCGUCAAUUAAUUUUUAAAAAUAUUCUAAAAUAUUUAUAAUAUUUUAAAAUAUUUAUUAAUUAUUUUCUUAAAAUAGUUAUAAUAUUUUAAAAUAUUUAUUCAUUAUUUACUUUAUAUUGAAAAUAUUUUAAAUUUUAAUAAUUUUUUUGAAAUAUUUAAUAAUUAAAAUUAAUUAUAGACUAAUUAAUAAUUUUUUUAUAAAAUUAAAAUAUUUAUUAAUAAAUCUUUAAAUAAUAAAAAUUAAAUAGUAAAAUAUUUAAUAAAAAAUUAAUUAAUAUAUUAUUAAAAUAUUAAAAAUAUUUUAAUAUAUUUUUUAAAAUUGAUAAAUUAAUUAAUAAGAUUUUUCAUAUUAUAUAAAUUAAAUAAUAUUUUUUAUUUAUAUUUGUGAUAAAAUAAUUACUAAUAUUUUUUAAAUUUUAAAAAGUUUAUUAAUUAAUUUUUUUAUUAAUUUUAAUUAUUAAAAUAAAUUUUUAUAAAAAUUAAAUAAUAACUAAUAAAUUUUUACCUAUCAUAUAAAUUAAAUAAUAAAAAGACUCAUUAGUAUAUUUUUUUAAAUUUUAUUGAUAUUUUAAUUUUUUUUAAAUUAAAAAUUUAACUAAUAAUUUUUUAUAAUAUAAAAAUUUAACUAAUAAUUUUUUAUAAUAUAAAAAUUAAAUAAUAAUCUUUUUAUAUUAUUGCACCAAUUUUUUUUAGAAUGAAAUAUAUAUGGAAUUUCGAAUUAAAUAUAGUAUUUAUCUCUUUUUUAAUUUUAAAUAAGCUUCCGAAAGAGUAUAAUUGAUUCAUGAUUUAUCUUUUAUUUUUUAUUUUAAAAAUAUAAUAAUUAAUUAAUAAACUUUUAUAGUGUAAAAAUUAAAUAAUAAGACAGACUAAAAUUUGAUUGAACGUUAAAAUCUUUGCAAAAUAAAAUAUUUAACUAAUAAGCUUCUAAAAGGAUUAAACCGUAACUUUUAAUUUUUUAUUUAAUAUAUAUUAUGUUUCACUAAAAAUAUAUAUAUUAAUAUAUAUCUUCAUAGACCGGCGCUAUUCAAUUCAAAUGACAAAAAACAUAUAGAGAAUUCAAUUAAUUUAAAAUUUUAAUUUUAAUUUUUAUUUAUUUCAAUUCGGUUCAAGUUUUAAUUUCAAAAAUUUUAAUUAUUUCAAUUUAAUUCAGUUUCAUCAUAAAAAAAUCAAACCGAACCAAUAAUAAUAUAAAGGGAUAAUAUCAUAUUAAAAUUAAAAUCUUUCAAUUAAAUUUUAAAUUACUAAAAAUAAAGUAUAAAAAGUAAAAAAUUUAUUAAAAAUUCAAAUUGAACAAAUUGAAUUGAAUCAAAUUGAAUCAGACCGAUUUGAUUCGAUUCGAUUUUUAACUAAAAUCAAUUUGAUUUGAUUUUUAUAAAUAUAAAAUUUUUAUUUUUUAAUUUAUUCAUUUCGAUUCGAUUUUAAACCUAACCGCUCACCCCUAUAUAUUUUAUAUAUAUUUUAUGUUGGUUAGUCGAUCUAAGUCCACCAUUAUCCUCAGAUUUGAAUAAAGUCCCUACUGGAUCUGGUUGGGGCUGAUUGAGCUUCUAACCCGAUUGAAAUCACUCUUCAUCAAUUAAAUUUGAGGAAAAUUCCUAUCAGAUUUCUAAAUUUCUACUAUACUUCUAUAUUUAAAAAUUAUUUAAUAAAAUAUUGUUAUAUUUUACAAAAUAAAAUUUUUUAAUCAUUCUGUUUAAAUAAUUGUUUAUUAUUUAAUCACUUUAAUCUUAAAUAUUUAUAUUAUUUAAUUAAGAAUAAAACAAGUUUAAUACAAUGGUUAAUUUGAGCUGCUAAACUUUAUUUAUUUAUUAAUAUGUUUUGGAAAAUUAAAAGCAAAAAUAAGGGAGUGGAUAUAUGGUUCAAAGUUGGCCCAUGCUUAAGAAAUAUUGGGCCAAUUUCAAAAUAAAAAGAAAAUAUUGGGCCAUGUGGAUUGGAAUUUCCAUUUUCAUGCACUAGGACUGCAAAUAUGCAUUUUAUUUUUUGCGCCUCAUAAUAUUUUUUUUAAUUAAAUUACUAAGCAUUAACCUUUAUUUGAACAUUAUUUUUUGUUCAUAUAAAGAGAAAAUUACUUUUUUAUAUAAAUUAAUCAAUACAAUUAAAAUAAUAAUUUUUAUUUAAUAUUUUUCAAUAUACCAGUAAAUCUUUUAUAUUAUUAAAUUAUUCUCAGAACUAAUAAUUUUAAGUUUAAUAUAUAUUAAAUAGUAUAUUGGUAAGUUGAUAAAUAAAUUAUUAUCUAAAAAAGUAAUAUAUAAUUUAAAUUAUAUAGCUUUGAGUAUUUUUUUUAUUUAUAAUAUUUGAAUUUAUAUCUUUUUAUUUAAUUAUUAUAAGACUCUAAAUAAUAAUAAAAUAUUAAUCAAUUUCUUUAAAUAUUUACUUAUUUAAUUAUAAAAUUUUAAAGAAAUAAAAUAACUAUUAUAACACUCACAGACUUAAUCUGAUAAUAAAUAUAUCUAAAUAAAUUUAAUAGUUCUCAUAUUUUACUCGUCAAUUUUAAAUCUCUAAUUUUCAUAACAUUCGAAAAUAUUUUCUUUUAAACCAAUGGAGGCUUCCUAUGGAGUGAAGUUUUUUAUUUUUUAACAUGCAACCAACUGUUGCAUUAAAAGACUCAAUAGUUACAACAUGAAAGACAUAAUUUAAAGAAUAAAUUACACAUCAAAACUCAUCCCAAAGUAAAAUAGAUAGCAGCGAAUCUAAAAAAAACAAAUCAAUUAAAAUUCAGUACAACUAAAUUGGAAUUCUAUAACACCAAAUUCGGAAGACAUCCGAGCAUCUAGCAACCCUAUUUGCUAAUAUACUUUUUUAAGUUUUCAACGUCACUGAGAAUAAUGAAACACCCAACACAAAUUCAGAUGCUCAAAUUCUCAUUCAAGAUGAUUAUACAUGUCAAGUAAUUCAGUAAGAUAAUAAAAUCUAGCCGCAAAAUUUAUAAACUACAAGCUAGAAAUAAUUGUACUGCUCUAAAACUACCAAUUCACAAAUAACUAAAGGCUACGUAAACUCAUAUCAAAUUUUUAAAUAAAAAAAAAAAUCGAUCCAUAAUAUUUUUAAUAUAUAAUAGUCAUAGAACCGAUUGAAGAAGUCACUCCGAUCUCCAACACCGAGAUAUCACCCACUAUAAUUUUGCAAUAAAAAAACGAAUAUUACUAAAAUAAAAAUAUAAAAUUCAAAUAAUCGCUCACUAAAUCAAUAAAAACCGCAUCAAUUACAUAAACAAACUCCAGAUCCUAUAUACAUCCACUCUUUAUAAUAAAUAAAAUAAAAAUUAUUAUUCACAAAAAGACACAAUCAGAAAUUCACAAAAAAGAAAAAAGCAAUAAAAUCCCAACGACAACAAUCACAACAUUUGCCUUCGACCUUUCUUGGCCUUCAAAGAAAACCCUAAAUCUCGUGAGCUAUAGAGGUGAAACUUAAUGAGGCUAGAGGAGCCCACCAAAAUAUAUAUGUAAAUAAUAAUACAAUCAUUUUUUAUUGUCAUUUUUCAUAAUAAUUAAUUUAUUUAAAUUAUAAUAAAAUAUUAUUUAAAAAUUAACCUUUAUAUCGUAAUUACUCAAAUAUCAAUCUCUCGUUUUCCGUCAACCUGCCACUAAGAAAAGUGAGAGAAAUAAAUAGUAAAAUAAAAUUUAAAAAAUUAUAGAAAAAAAUGGGUACUUGUAUCCAGUAGAGAUAAGGAUAAAAAUAAUUAAUUAAUACUCUUACUCUUUUAAAAGCUAUAGAAAAAUUUAGACAAACUCAUUAAAAAAGUGUACAAGCGGAGCAAUGAUUGUGAAUUCAAUUUGUAAAUAUAAAUUACUAUUAAUAUUAUUUACUAUAUCAUAUUAAUUUAGUUAAUAAAUAUUUUUAUUCAGUGACUAUUUUUAAUUUAAAACAAAAAUGUAUAUUUUCUCAUUAUUCUCUUUUACCAACUCAAUAAAAUAGAUUAAAUUUUAUAUUUAUAAACUUAGCAUGAUAGUAAGUGCAUAUGAGUAAAUUUGAAAAAUUUUGGGUUCUACUCUCCCAAUUUUUAAUCUCUAUUUCAAAAAAAAAAAACAAUUAAAUUUAAUGAUUACUUAAGUUCAGACGUUUGGGCCUACUACAGUCUAAGUAAAAAAAGACUCGACUGACCUAAUGUGGGCCCAAAAUGUAAUAAAAGGACAGCUCCAAAUCAAUUUAGACCUGAUACUGUGGAUUGGAUAAGACUCGAACGGGCUCGAAAUAAUUUGGCCCGAACAACCGUCAGCCUCCGUAUAAAGAUAAAACCCGCAAUAAUAGGAAUCGUGUCUAAAUAGCAUCAGAAGAAAUUAAAUCGCCAUCUGACGAGAGUAAGAAUACAAUACACAUGUACAAGCUGCUCGCAUGAAUGUAAUAGACGAGUACAGGUGUAGGACGAUGAUAACACGCCCAAAAAAGACAAGAGGGAAUGGAAAAAAAAGGAAGGAAAAAAGAAAAUAGAAACUAAACUUACUAAAAUUCACUUAAUCUCAGACCCAUUCUCGAAUCUCAAACAUCAAAUGGUGUUGUCUAUGGGAACGAAGGGAUCUUAACAUCACAUGAGUUCUCAUUCAACCAAUGAGAUUCAGAUGGCUAAUCCUGGCAAAACCCACAUAGGAAUCACUUAAAAUGACCUGAGCUUGACACAAGAGAGCCCAUUAUUCUCAUUCUCCAGUCUGCUAACUUCAGUAAACCUGUCACCUACAUUGCUAAACCACUCACCGAGCUCAACUGUAGCCAUGCCCCAUACCCCAUUGUUAGACAAAGAACUCCAAAAUAUGCCUUACAACUACAAAAUAGUGCCAACUGGCCAAGUCAGAUGUUACAACACAGUGGACUUAACACCCCGCCAAGUAGGCCACUUAUGGUGGAUGGGCUCAACCACAGCGAGCCCCAACACACUUUGAACUAUCAAGACUCCCAAUAGAGUAGCAGAAGGAUGGGAGAAGGAGAUGGGGAAAUAAGCCAAAGAAAUGAACUAAUAGCCUGACUUAGGAGCAGGAUAGCAAGGGAACUCGUAGAAAAUGGUGGGGUAGAAAGUUGUUCAUCCGAACCUCCAUAAAGGUUUGAAAGUGAAAAACUGGAAGGAGGCCGUUACUGCCUAGAGAAGAGGCUCAGAAGGGAUGAUACAGAGGAUGAUCAAAAGUUAAAGAGGCUAAAAGAGCAGGUGUUGAUGGAACUCGAGGCCAAAGACAAUAACGGUCCCAUGUUGCUAACCUCAUCGCCAUUCAUCAAAUGGAUCCAGCAGGAGACCAUACUAAAGAAGUUUAUGUUGCCGACGUUGGCUGCAUAUGAUGGGACAGGAAAUCCCUGAGAUCACAUGCUAAACUAUAAGACCUUUAUGGAACUUCAAACCCACUUCGACACCCAGAUGUGCAAAGUCCUCCCAACAACCAUGACAGGACCAGCUCAGGCUUGGUUCAAUAGCCUAGAAUCAGGAAGUAUCAGGAACUUCGUCGACCUGGGUAUUCAUUAGCAGGUUUAUUGCCGGAGUCCUUGCUGAAAGGAAGACAAGUUACUUAGAAACGAUCAAACAGAGGGGGAACGAGUCUCUAAGAAAGUAUGUAGCCAGGUUUAACUCGGAGGAGGCUUUGCAGAUACUGGAGUUAGAUGAGGCAAGAGUAGUAGAGGCCAUGCAGAAGGGCAUGACCUCCCAAGAGUUCUUUGGAUCCUUAUGCCGAAAGCUGCCAACUACCAUGUGGGAGCUGAUGAAAAGGACUGAGAAGUAUAUAAGGCAAGACAAUGCCUUAACCACCAACCAAUUCGCAUGAGAAGAUAAGGAGAAGGGUAAGGGCAUUGACGAUGGAAGGAGAGACAUUCCGGAGAAAAGGCUGGACAGGGGCCUGGAGGCACUGAAUAAGCAUAGAUGGGAGAGAAAAGACCAGCGGCCUUAUCAACCCUGCGUUCCAGCAGAAGUUACACCCCUGAAUGUAUCACGAGCUGAAGUGCUCAUGGCAGUCCAGGACAAGGACUACAUGCAGUAGCCUAAACCUCUAAAAACUGAUAUGAAAAGAAGAGACCCAUAAAAGUAUUGCCAGUAUCAUAGAACUCUUAUGCACGAAACCAACGGCUGCUACCAGUUGAUACAUGAGAUAGAGAGAUUGAUCAAGAGAGGUCAUCUUCAGAACUUUUGGAAGAAAAUGGAAGGGCAGAGGCCACAGCUGGGAGAGGCAGGAGAAAGAGCAAGGAGGCAAAUCAGAGCGCCUAUGAACGAUGACUCCAACGACACGAUCAACAUGAUAGCAGGGGGAACAUGAGGUCGGAUGAGCCAAAGGAGAAAGAGGAGGGGGAGGACUGAAAAUGAGAGCAACAUGAAGGUAAUGCAGGUUGCAGAGCAUACCUCGAUGACCAUCUCCUUUUCUCCAGAAGACGCAUAGGAUAUACAAAUGCCCCAUGAUGAUGCCUUAGUCAUUGAGGCGGUGAUCCAUAACUUUAGAGUUCAAAAAGUAUUAGUGGAUGACGGUAGUAAAGUAAACUUGCUUCCCCACCGAGUCUUUCAGCAUAUGAAAAUACUAGAGGAACAAUUAGUGAAGGAAUAGGCCCCAGUGAAAGAAAUAGGGGGCAUCCCCAUAGCAGCGGAAGGGAAGGUGAAGGUAGCACUCACCAUAGGAGAGCCUCCUCUAUCACAAAGACAUUAUGUCGUAUUCUUGGUGGUAAAAUUACCGCUAAGUUUCAAUGUCAUUCUGAGGAGGCCGAUGCUGUAUGAUUUUAAGGUCAUGACGAGCAUUCAAUACCUGAGCAUGAAGUUCCCAACUAGCGGAGGGGUCAGUGUUGUCCAAGGAAGACAGGAAGAAGCUAGAGCUGUAUAUUGGGCUAUGGUAGAUGAGAAAAAUACCCAGCAGAAAGAAAUCAACCCUGAGGUUAUGGAAGUCCAGGAUGAAAGAAAGGAAGGCAGAACUAAACCAGUAGAUAAACUGGAGACCUUCCCGUUGUCGGAGUUGGAGAAUGAUAAGGUCUUCAGUUUAAACUCAAGCCUGGAACAAAGCCAGAAGGAAGCAGCAAUGGCCCUAAUUCAGGGGCAUGGAUCAAGUUUUGCCUGGAAGCCUUCAAAUAUUUCGGGAAUCAAGCCAGUAGUUAUGACUUACAAGCUUAACAUCUUUCCUGAUGCGAAGCCAGUAAAGCAUAAGAAUAGAGUCUUUGACAAGGAAAAGCAGUCCCCUAAGCUAUCCUGCUUUGAUUCAUUAACAAGGAUAGGAUCCUUAAGGACCAUCUUUAGGGCAGUAGGAGUCUUGGAGGAGGCCAAGGUCUUGGGAGGAAUUGAUGUUCUGAAGGUUGCAGAAUGAGAACCUCCUGACACUGGCACCGAAGCUAGCAAAGGUACAGGGGUGCAAGCAGGAGGACGAAUUGAUGAUGUUGGAGUCGCGACAUGAAAGACCUCCUGGGUGACAUCAGCAACAGAUUUAUUAGCCCGGAAGGUAGCCCAAGUAUCCUUGAUGUUCUCUCGAGACAAGGUGAAGUUCUUAGGAAGCUUGGAUUUGUCCAUUAGCACGUUAGAAACUGAAAAAGAAACAAAGAUUCAGUUAGAACUCAGUAUGGAAAAGGAAAAAUAUAAGAGAAAAACUUAAAAGUGCCAGCUUGUUUACAGUCCUACAGAGAGGACAUGAAUAUGUACUUCUUGAUAUCAUAUUUCUUCUUUACAGAAGUCAGUCGAAGAAGGCAGAUCUGAUUUAUAAGGUUUAGCCUAGAGAACUCGUUGUAAUCCUGAGGCAUCUCCCCCCAAGAUAGAUCAACGUCCCACUCAACCCCUGAGCUCUCUUUUAGCUCGACAAUGACAAAAUGCUCUACCCAACCCUUAAUUGAAUCCUUGUAACCGGUGAAAAUGGACAACCCAGCUCGAGGACCGAAACAGUAAAACCCAUGAGCAGACCUAACCAGAUAAAAGAAGGUAGAGAACAAAUCGACAAAAGGGACAAAACCCCAGCACAGUUAGAUGGAUUUGAAACAACACAUGAAUAGAAUGGAAUUGGGGGAUAGCAUUCAGGGGUUACCCUAAAGCGUUGAAAGACCUCGAUAAAAAAAGGGAUAAAAGGGAAGGUUAACCCAAACUUGUGUUGCUUGAGGAAAAAUAACAAAUUGCAUCCUUGUUGAGCAUCUAUUAAUCCCGUAGGCGGUGGGUUAGGAAGGACUAUUCGCUCGUUAUCCAGGGGCGCCCUAAUCCUAAAGAUUUUUGUAUCUAUUAGAUGACGAGGAAGGUGUUGAAGUAAGGAAGAAGAAGUGACAGAAGAAACCAAGUCAUCCAUCGCAAGUAUUUCAAUAGAAACUAUGAGAAGAGCAAUAAUGUACCUCUGAUCGAAGAAAUCGAGAUAAUAGAGAGAAUGGAAGCAAAAUAGUAGAAGCAAUGUGAGAGAGAGCAACGAGUGAAAGUGAGAUUCAAAACGAGGAGGAUGAAAGAAGUAAUGUCUGGCAGAACCCUCUUUUUGAUCCGCGCAAAAGUAAUUAAGAAUUUCAAAAUUUACUCCCUCACUAAUCAUGAAAUAAUUAAUAACGGAGUAAAGGGACACUUGAUGUAAUACCCGGCUAGAUUUCGGCAUCGGAAUCCCUAUCUUUCGGCGGAAUCUAGAAUUUCUGAAGAUGCCAAAGUCUUCUAGAGGGGUAAAAUGUGUUUCUAAAAUGUUUUCACAUGAUUUCAUAGUUUUAAAUGAAAAAGAAAUUGAGUUUUGAAAAGAAAAGGCCAAGGAGGAAGGACCCAGGUUCGGCCGCCGAACCUCAAGUUCGGCCGCCGAACGUGGGGCUGUUUCGAGAGUGCUUUAAGCCUCCGAAAGCUUUGAGGGCAGAAACCAGGUUCGACCGUCGAACCUCAAGUUCGGCCUCCGAACAUGGGGUUGUUUCGGAAGCAGGUUUGGCUUCCGAAGGUGUUCUGCUCAGCCACCUAUAAAAGGCCCCCAGAUCGAAAAUGGACGAGUUUUCUCUCCCCAUUUCGGUCAUAGGUGAGUUCAUGCCUCCUUUGGUUGAUUUCAUGUCUUUCCUUCAAUCUCCCAAGGUUUUUAUAAGUUUUAUAGCUGUUUUGAAGAGUUUUAAAGCUUGGAUCAAGGUUUGAGAGCUUGGAGACUUUUGGAGCUUGGGUUCUCCAUAUCUCUAGCUUUGGGUCGCACCAACCCUCGAUCUCCAAGAGGUAAGUGUAGAUCCUUGCCACCUUUUAUGUUUUAAUAAGUUUUAAGUAAGUGUAAAGAAGUUUUAAUGCUUGAGUAUGGGUAGAUAUGCAUGUUAGGGUUUAUGUGGGUUUUAUGCCCAAUGUUUGGUUAUGUGAUGUUAUGUUGAGAAGUUUAAGUUAGUUUAUGCCUUAUAUGCAUGUGGGAGUGUGUAUGCAUGUUUGGGAGAGAGCAUGUGAGGUUUUGGGUGGUUUGGAGGUUGGUUUUGCUUGUGACGGAUUCGGACCUGCUGUUCGGAGGGAACCAGGUUCGGCCGCCGAAGGUAUGUUCGGCUGCCGAACCUGCAUGGAAGGCAGCUUUGGCCGCCUAAUGUGCCCCCGAAGGCCAGGACUUUCCGAUCUGUGAGAGGCUUCGGCCGCCGAACCUGCCGCCGAAGGUGCCAGACUUUCGGCUCUGGAGGGACUUUCGGCCGCUGAAAGUGCCCCCGAACCUGCAUGGCUUUCGGCUCUGGAAGAGACUUUCGGCCGCCGAAAGUGCCGCCAAAAGUGCUUUGUCCAGCCCUUUCUUGGGUGUUUCUUAUGCAUGUUUUGAGGAUGUUUUAGGGGUUUUCGGGGAGUUGUUUAUGAGUUGUUUAGAAUGUGUUUGGUACCUCAUUCGAGUCCACCUGUGUAGGAUCGGACCCGAGGGAUCGAGGAGGCCAGCAGUGUUAGCUGUUGCAGAGUCAGUCCAGCGUCUGCCAGAGGUGAGUAGAACUAACUCAAAUGUUUAAGCAUGUUUCACGCAUCAUGAAUACUAUGUAUAUGUAGUAGAUUGCUUGCAUUAGAAAUCACGAAUAUGCUGCAUUGCAUAAUUUAUUAUUGAUGUGGAUGGACCAAGGCGACCCCAAUAGCCCUAGCUAUGAUAUGUUACAGAAGUCCUGAGGAGCCCCUUUGAGGGCCGAGUAUAAUGAAGUCCUGAGGAGCCCGAAGGGCCGGGCACCAUGUUAUGUUACAGAUAGAGGGAGUCUUGGUGGUCAUGUCCAUCCGUUAUGUGAAAUGUUUGUGUUGUGACGCAUUCCAUGAAAGCAUACGAUUUACUAUUGUUUUCCAUGUUCUGCU